GGGCCCGUAGCUCAGUUGGUAGAGCACUACUAUGGCAUAGUAGGGGUCAGGAGUUCGAGCCUCCUCGGGUCCACCA
rnacentral:tRNA from 5 species